CACGUAGGGGGCAAGCGUUGUCCGGAAUCAUUGGGCGUAAAGAGCUUGUAGGCGGUCUGUCGCGUCUGCUGUGAAAAUCCGGGGCUCAACCCCGGACUUGCAGUGGGUACGGGCAGACUAGAGUGUGGUAGGGGGAGACUGGAAUUCCUGGUGUAGCGGUGAAAUGCGCAGAUAUCAGGAGGAACACCGGUGGCGAAGGCGGAUCUCUGGGCCACUACUGACGCUGAGAAGCGAAAGCAUGGGGAGCGAACAGG
rnacentral:rRNA from 1 species